AGGGGUGAGCGCACCGGAACCGAACCCGGAUGUGUCACCGCAGAAAAAACCGAAUUGGAUAAUCGGCGAUAGGUCCGAAUUUUGUAAGUGGAGAGGAGAGAGAUUGGUUCUGGUUUUGAGUCUCGUCGGUCAAAAGAACACGCAAAGCAAGCCACCCCCAACACAACGCUAACAAUACCGUGUCCAGCUUCCUCUCCUCAAACCCUAAUCGCCUCCACCAACCCUCACUCAUUCCUAAUUCACCUAUUCUUUCUUCAUUUCCAAUCUCCUAAUUCACUUCUUCAUUCCAUUCAAUCGAUUAGACCGUCCCAGAAUCCGCUAACUUACUCCUCGAUUCUCCGCUUCUCGAUUCCUUUUUGUCCGAAUUGUUGGGUUUUACCACAUGGAUUUGGCAACAAGCAUCAAGGAAAAAUUGAACUAUUUCCGUAUAAAAGAGCUAAAAGAUGUGCUCACUCAGUUACAACUUUCAAAGCAGGGAAAGAAGCAGGAUCUUGUUGAUCGCAUAUUAUCCGUUCUCUCAGAUGAACAAGUUUCGAAAAUGUGGGCUAAGAAGAAUGCUGUUGGAAAAGAACAGGUGGCCAAAUUAGUGGAUGAUACAUAUAGGAAAAUGCAGAUAUCUGGGGCCACUGAUCUAGCAUCCAAGGGGCAGGGUGCAUCAGAUAGCAGUAGUGUAAAAGUUAAAGGCGAAUUUGAUGUAAAAGUUAAAGGUGAAUUUGAUGAUUCCUUUCAACCAGAUGCAAAGAUUCGCUGUCUAUGUGGAAGUAGAUUGGAAACAGAGGAUUUGGUCAAGUGUGAUGAUCCAAGAUGCCAUGUGUGGCAACACAUCAGUUGCGUUAUUAUUCCAGAGAAACCUGCAGAAGGCAUCCCACCAGUUCCUGAUAAAUUUUAUUGUGAACUCUGUCGCGUUUCUCGUGCACACCCAUUUUGGGUUUCAGUGGCACACCCUUUGCAUCCUGUGAAGUUGACUACAACCAGCAACCCAACUGAUGGAAACAACCCAGUUCAGAGUGUCGAGAGAACAUUUCAACUUACUAGAGCAGACAAAGACUUGGUUUCAAAACCAGAAUUUGAUGUUGAGGCUUGGUGUAUGCUUCUGAACGACAAGGUUCCAUUCAGGAUGCAGUGGCCACUGUAUGCAGACCUGCAGGUCAAUGGUGUUCCCGUUCGUGCAACUAACAGACCUGGUUCCCAAUUGCUUGGUGCUAAUGGUCGGGAUGACGGUCCAAUUAUCACGCCAUAUACAAAAGACGGAAUUAAUAAGAUUUCCUUAACAGGAAGUGAUGCUCGCAUUUUUUGUUUAGGGGUUCGUAUUGUUCGAAAGCGCAGUAUGCAGCAGAUCCUAAACUUAAUUCCAAGGGAAUCUGAUGGUGAGCAAUUUGAAGAUGCUCUUGCACGUGUCUGCCGUUGUGUGGGGGGCGGAAAUGCAGCUGAUGAUGCCGAUAGUGAUAGUGAUUUGGAAGUGGUUUCAGAUACUUUCACUAUCAACCUUCGUUGUCCUAUGAGUGGUUCGAGAAUGAAGGUUGCUGGAAGAUUCAAACCCUGUAUUCACAUGGGCUGCUUUGAUCUUGAAGUUUUUGUGGAGAUGAAUCAGCGAUCAAGGAAGUGGCAAUGUCCUAUAUGUCUCAAAAACUAUGCUUUGGAGAAUAUCAUCAUUGACCCUUAUUUCAAUCGCAUCACUUCUAUGAUGAUGAAUUGUGGUGAAGAAAUUGCAGAGGUUGAGGUAAAGCCUGAUGGUUCUUGGCGUGUUAAGGUAAAGAGUGAAAGUGAACGCCAGGAAUUAGGAAAUCUAGCACAGUGGCACCUCCCAGAUGGAUCUCUGUGUGUUUCAACUGAUGGAGAUGUCAAGAGAGUGGAUACAUUGAAGCAGGUCAAACAGGAAGGUAUUUCAGACAGUCCUACUGGUUUAAAACUUGGCAUCAGGAAGAAUCGCAAUGGAGUUUGGGAAGUCAGUAAACCUGAGGGCACAAACACCUCCUCUGGUAAUAAAUUGAAAGGGCUUUUUGGAAAUCCCGAACAUGUUGUUAUUCCAAUGAGCAGCAGUGCCACAGGAAGUGGCCGGGAUGGUGAUGAUCCUAGUGUAAAUCAGGGUGGUGGGGGGCAUAUCGACUAUUCCUCUCUGAAUGGGAUGGAGAUGGAUUCUCUGUGUCUCAAUAAUGUUGGUUUAGCAUGUGAAUUUACUGCACACAACACUUCUGCUCAGGUGGGUGGUGCAGAAGUUAUUGUCCUUAGUGAUUCUGAUGAAGACAAUAAUAACCAAAAUGAUGCUACAGAUGGUUACUCUGUACCACCACCUGUAAUUGUUGAUUCAUAUGCUGAAGAUCAUAAUCUUGGUGGAAAUUCAUGCUUAGGACUCUUUCAUAAUGAUGAUGAUUUUGGGAUGCCUUCUCUGUGGUCAUUGCCUUCUGGAACUCAGGCUGGUCCUGGAUUCCAAUUGUUUGGUUCUGAUGCAGAUGUGCCUGAUACAUUGGUCCAUCUGCAGCAUGGUCCUAUUAAUUGUUCCUCAUCACUAAAUGGUUAUGCAUUGGCUCCCGAUACUGCUUUGGGAUCCGCUAGUAUCUUGCAAGAUUCCUCUGCUGGUCGUUCGGAUGCUGAUUUGAAUGGUGGUCUAGUUGACAAUCCAUUGGCAUUUGGUGGAGAUGAUCCCUCACUUCAGAUAUUUCUUCCUACCAGACCAGCAGAUUCAUCCAUGCAGAAUGAAUUGAGAGAUCAGGCGAAUGUGGCUAAUGGUGUCUGCACUGAGGACUGGAUAUCCCUUAGUCUUGGAGGUGGUGCUUCUGGUAGCAAUGGUGAUGCUUCCACUCAAAAUGGGUUGAACUCUAGACAUCAAAUCCCAACCAGAGAAGAUGCCACAAAUACUUUGGAUGAAACUGUACACUCUUAAGCUUCAUAUCAAGUUUAUUUGAGAGGGGCUAUGAAGGAGGAUUGGAAGCUGGGUAUUCAGUUUCUUUGCAUCGGGCACUGCUAUACCUUCUGUUAAAUGCUUCUUUACUCCUUGGGAUGAAUGAUGUUAGACCUGACAAGGCAAGUAGGCCAAGAUCAGAUAGCCCCUUCUCAUUUCCUCGCCAAAGACGUUCCGUAAGGCCCCGCUUGUACCUUUCUAUUGAUUCAGAUUCAGAGUAAAGGUCAGACCUUGUCUCUCAAGAACUUUAGGUACUCAUCUUAGCACCAGAUUUUGCAUUUAGAAAUUGAAGAAAGUUGAGAGGCAUUUUUGGGCCUCAUGCAAUGGCAGUUUAUACUUAAUGUGGUCUGUGGCAUCUCUGGUGGAACAGAUCUACAAAUUACCCCUGCCCAAAUGCUUGCAGCUACCCUAUUGGCAACGUAAUGAUUCUUUGUGCUUGAUAUUGCGUCUAUUCUCGUCAAUUUUCAAUGAGGGUGUGCUGGGGGUAUAGUGCUGGUUUAUUGUAUAGUUGAUCAUUCAAAUCUGGUAGUUCAAACUUUCAAAUUUGGUGGGACGUUAUAUCUACAUUUUUGUCUCUGGUGAGAGCAAUAACCUGUAAAUGUUUAGCCAUCAGAUUCAACAGUGAAAUCAAACACAUUGUUUUUCUAGGAUAUUAUGUUUGGCUUCCAGUAUCAUUCCUCAUGAUUGUGGCCGAGUGCCCAUUUUCAUAAUAGCUGGACGGUAAUCUUUAUUUCAAAUAUUUAGUCAUAAAAUGACCCUCCACUGGACGGGUUUUAUUCCA